rnacentral:tRNA from 1 species
GCCUUCGUAGUGUAUAGCGGUCAGCACGCUCGAAACGUAACCGAGAGGUCAGUGGUUCGAUUCCCGGCGAAGGCG